rnacentral:tRNA from 1 species
GCCCUCUUGGCGGAAUUGGUAUACGCAACAGACUUAAAAUCUGUCGCCCGUACGGGCUUGUGGGUUCGAGUCCCACAGAGGGCA